UACGAAGGGGGCUAGCGUUGCUCGGAAUUACUGGGCGUAAAGGGCGCGUAGGCGGGUCGUUUAGUUAGAGGUGAAAGCCCAGGGCUCAACCCUGGAAUUGCCUUUAAUACUGGCGGCCUUGAGUAUGGCAGAGGUGUGUGGAACUCCGAGUGUAGAGGUGAAAUUCGUAGAUAUUCGCAAGAACACCAGUGGCGAAGGCGGCUCACUGGCCCGAUACUGACGCUGAGGCACGAAAGCGUGGGGAGCAAACAGG
rnacentral:rRNA from 1 species